AAGAUCACAAACUUCGAUGCGUCUAUCAAAAUCGUCUUCGGACAUCCCUUGGACCAAAUGAAGUUUAAAGCUCCGCCAUUCUUAAUUAGAGCAAAGAAGAAUUAAUCAGAAACAAUUUUUGGGACUGUUCGUUUUCGUCCACGAGGUGACUGCUGCUCGUUAAGAAGAACACAGCACUGCAUCAAAGAUUCAAAUCAGUGAUCCGCAUUGUUUGCUCAAGAGCUUGUAUUACUAUUGGUGCCUGCGAGAGUGAGACAAUAAAGAUCAGCCCCGCCAACGCUUUCGGGCAGAUUCCUUCUAACGUCUUCAGACA